GAUGAACGCUGGCGGCGUGCCUAAUACAUGCAAGUCGAGCGAACAGACGAGGAGCUUGCUCCUCUGACGUUAGCGGCGGACGGGUGAGUAACACGUGGAUAACCUACCUAUAAGACUGGGAUAACUUCGGGAAACCGGAGCUAAUACCGGAUAAUAUAUUGAACCGCAUGGUUCAAUAGUGAAAGACGGUUUUGCUGUCACUUAUAGAUGGAUCCGCGCCGCAUUAGCUAGUUGGUAAGGUAACGGCUUACCAAGGCAACGAUGCGUAGCCGACCUGAGAGGGUGAUCGGCCACACUGGAACUGAGACACGGUCCAGACUCCUACGGGAGGCAGCAGUAGGGAAUCUCCCGCAAAGGGCGAAAGCCUGACGGAGCAACGCCGCGUGAGUGAUGAAGGUCUUCGGAUCGUAAAACUCUGUUAUUAGGGAAGAACAAAUGUGUAAGUAACUAUGCACGUCUUGACGGUACCUAAUCAGAAAGCCACGGCUAACUACGUG
rnacentral:rRNA from 1 species